rnacentral:rRNA from 1 species
UACGGGGGGGGCAAGCGUUGUUCGGAAUUACUGGGCGUAAAGGGCUCGUAGGCGGCCAACUAAGUCAGACGUGAAAUCCCUCGGCUUAACCGGGGAACUGCGUCUGAUACUGGAUGGCUUGAGAUUGGGAGAGGAAUGCGGAAUUCCAGGUGUAGCGGUGAAAUGCGUAGAUAUCUGGAGGAACACCGGUGGCGAAGGCGGCAUCCUGGACCAACACUGACGCUGAGGAGCGAAAGCCAGGGGAGCAAACGGG